rnacentral:lncRNA from 1 species
UGCCAAUAUAGGAUCUGAGCACAUGUUUCAUUAUUCUCAUGAAGGUACUAGGAGCAUUCGACUACCCAAACGGCGUAGCGAACUACUUUAAUAAUCCAUCAUGUGUUUUAAAAACGGUCUUCUAGUCAUCCCCAAGACUAAAAAGUUGGGGAAAUUUUGGACUAGAAGACGGCUUUUAAAACACCAUAAAGUUUUUAUGGUGUCAAGGCUAGUCCAACUUUAUGGUGCCAAGGUUUUUAAAAGUCGUCUUCUAGUCCAUAUACAAGAUCAUCAUCAUCUGGCUCCUCAUCAUAAAUUGGAUCACCAUUAUACCUAUUAGCAUAAUCUAGGUUCUCAUCCAUAAUCAUGAGUUGCUUGUUUUUAUCAGGACGGCUAUUCGGCUUCUUACAAUCUCCGGUCAUGUGACUCGCCUCCCCUCACUUGAAACAACAAAGAGUUGAGGUGCUGCCCUGAACUCUAGCACUUGGACCAACAAUAUUUGGGAGAUUAAUAGGUGCUGUCGAGGCAUCUUUGUUGCCCACAAAUGGUGCCUCUUCAGGCCUUGCACCAAGAUCUUGCAAUCGCCUAUUGGGAGACCCAAAUCUCCUCUCAUGGCUGCACUAGCCAUGCUCUUGGACUAUUGUUUCUCUAUUGUUAAAGCUCACUGACAGGCUUCCGAAAUAGUCCAUAGAGGGUGUUAACUUAGGACGUCUUGAAUUGAUUGUCUCAGUUCCGCUAUGUAUCGAGCAACAAGUUACUCUUCAGUCUCAGACAAGUUGUUCCAUGUAACUAAUUGAUGGAACUCCUCAAUACAAUCAUCAACGGAUUGCCCCCG